UACGUAGGGGGCAAGCGUUGUCCGGAAUUAUUGGGCGUAAAGCGCGUGUAGGCGGCCUUGCAAGUCGGGUGUGAAAGCCCUCAGCUUAACUGAGGAAGUGCGCCCGAAACUGCUCGGCUUGAGUACCGGAGAGGAUGGUGGAAUUCCCGAAGUAGAGGUGAAAUUCGUAGAUAUCGGGAGGAACACCGGUGGCGAAGGCGACCAUCUGGACGGAUACUGACGCUGAGACGCGAAAGCGUGGGUAGCAAACAGG
rnacentral:rRNA from 1 species